rnacentral:rRNA from 1 species
AUUGAACGCUGGCGGCAGGCCUAACACAUGCAAGUCGAGCGGCUGAAGGGAGCUUGCUCCUGGAUUCAGCGGCGGACGGGUGAGUAAUUCCUAGGAAUCUGCCUGUUAGUGUGGUAUAACGUCCGGACACGGGCGCUAAUACCCCAUACGUCCUGACGGCGAAAGGGGGGGAUCUUCGGACCUCACGCUAUCGGAUGAGCCUAUGUCGGAUUAGCUAGUUGGUGGGGUAAAGGCCUACCAAGGCGACGAUCCGUAGCUGGUCUGAGAGGAUGAUCAGCAACACUGGAACUGAGACACGGUCCAGACUCCGACGGGAGGCAGCAGUGGGGAAUAUUGGACAAUGGGCGCAAGCCUGAUCAAGCCAUACCGCGUGGGUGAAGAAGGCCUUCGGGUUGUAAAGCCCUUUUGUUGGGAAAGAAAAGCAGCAGGUUAAUACCCCGCUGUUCUGACGGUACCCAAAGAAUAAGCACCGGCUAACUUCGUG